UACGUAGGGUGCGAGCGUUGUCCGGAAUUAUUGGGCGUAAAGGGCUCGUAGGCGGUCUGUCACGUCGGGAGUGAAAACUCGGGGCUCAACCCCGAGCCUGCUUCCGAUACGGGCAGACUAGAGGUAUGCAGGGGAGAAUGGAAUUCCUGGUGUAGCGGUGAAAUGCGCAGAUAUCAGGAGGAACACCGGUGGCGAAGGCGGGUCUCUGGACAGUUCCUGACACUGAGGCACGAAGGCCAGGGGAGCAAACGGG
rnacentral:rRNA from 1 species